rnacentral:misc_RNA from 1 species
UCAAACUUGGUCAUUUAGAGGAAGUAAAAGUCGUAACAAGGUUUCCGUAGGUGAACCUGCGGAAGGAUCAUUACUGAAUUAACGAAGUUGGGUUGAUGCUGGUCUUUCGGGACAUGUGCUCGCUCGCUUCAAAUUCACCCUUUACCCCCUGUGCACUUUUGUAGACUGUAACAGCCCUCAGUGAUUCAUCACUGGAUAGACGGAGUUGCGCUUCAGCUCUCUGUCAACGUUGCAGUCUAUUUAUCUCCAUAUACAAAGUCUUAGAAUGUCCUUUGUAGUGUCGAAAGACCUAUAAAACUUAUACAACUUUCAACAACGGAUCUCUUGGCUCUCGCAUCGAUGAAGAACGCAGC